rnacentral:lncRNA from 1 species
UGAUUUUUAUCUUUUAUAAUUCUUGUAGAAUAACAAAGUUCAUCUCAACUUUAAUUCCCUUUCCCUGUGAUAUUAUAUCUCGAAACUGGAUAGCUGCUCAUAUUCAUAUAUAUACAUAUAUAUCUUAUGUUUAAAGAAAGGAAGGAUGCUGUAGAACAGGAAGACCUAUUUAUCAUACGACGAGGCCCAGCCGAUCGAAACUGCUUUCCGGUAAAGCCACACUCUGAAUGGGCAUGCGCAUUAAACAAUCACGUGAAAUUCGCCAGAUGGCCGCCCCUAAAGGAUGGAAUUCUCCAGGGAUUAAUUCCGCUGGUUGUAGUUCGUCUCAAUUAACCAUCGUUACACAGACAAGCCUUUGCCACCCACGAUUCGAGAAAAUUUGGUACACGUUUUUAAAGCGAAUCCUUGCGAAGGAUCACCUUUUUGCAAAUCGUAUUCAAGUUCGUUACAUCGCAGAGACGAGUCGUGAACGUGGCGAGAAAGUCGAGUGGCUCCUCUGAUUUUCGAAAGGAGAUUCGACAUCGGGGCGAAAACAGUGGAGGUGAGGGUUUUAAAGACGGGGGAUGGAUUGUGAUGGAUUUGCAAGAAUUUGAGAUUUUGAGGAAAAAUAUAUUUGGAAAGAGAUUAAAUGGAGAAGAUUUUGGAAGAGGAAGUUUUCUUUUUUUGAUGAAAUUUUAUGGAUUUGAAAAAUUGGGAACUUUUAUAUACUUCGAAAAGAGUGAGAUUUAAAAUAUCUUUUCUUUCUUGAUUCGAAGAAUUGGAAUUUUAAAAAUAUAUUUUGCGGAUGAAGAAAUUAAUUUAGGUUAAGAGCUUUCGAAAAGAGAAAUAAGGAAGGAGAGUUGUGUUGUGAAAAUUUCAAGAAAAAUUUUCUUUCGACAUUUUACAGAUUUGCAAGAUCGAAAUUUUAGAUAAAUAUAUAUAAAAUUAAGCUUCGUGAAUGUAUAAUUUGUUGUUGUAUAAUUUGAUAUAAAAAUAUUUUGGAACGAAAGAACGAACAUCUUGGAACGUUUUAUAAGACAAAUAUAUAUUAUUGCUUUACAUAGAGAGAAAUCAUUUAUAAUACUGACUGAUUCGAUUCACAAUAUGAUUAUAUAUAUAUAGUACCUAUUAACGUUCAUGUUAGAUUAAACGCAUUUCGAUAACAUUUUGUUUUUUUUUUUUUUUUUUAUUGCUUAAAAUUACACGUGGAAAUAAAUUAUUCCAUAUUUACGAGUAGCACGAAAAAUUUACGUUUAAAAAUUGUACACUAAUAUUUAUUUAUUUAUUACGUAUCAUUAUUAAACUUAUGUAACAAAAUUAUUACAUUCUCGUAGAUUCUAUGCUGUACGCUUAGAAAAAAAUUAUGUUUCAUUUGUUUCCCGUGAAAUAUGAAAUAUUUGUGCUGGAAAAUUUGUAUAUAUUUUUAUUAAUUAAUUGGCGGAGAGGAGGUGCCGUGCACAAGUAGAUGAAGAACCUUAAAUUCUAUGAUACGAGAGAGAAACGAGACGAACAAUUUUACGAUUUCGUUGGAAUUUUGUACAAAUUUGUAAUUAACAGAGAUUGAUAUACGAAAGGAAUAGAAUGAAAAAAAUUUGCAAGAAUCGUUCUAUAAAUGAACAGAGUAUAAUAAAGGGUUGAGAUAUUAAAUUCGAAAAAUUGAAGCAAAGAUUUCGAAUUAUAGAUAUAAUUCGAAGAAGUAAUAUAAGUUAAAAUAAGAAAUAACAGUGUAUAUAUAUUUACAUGUCAAUAAAAUUGUUUUAUCUAUUUCUGUUAAAAUUACUUCAAAAAAUCAAGACGCAAGUUUUGAUUAUCAUUCGAUGAUUCAUAAUAUUAUAUUUUCGUUAUUUCGAUAUUUCGUUCGUAACGCGAGAAUUUACUCGUAAUAUAUCGCUUCUUGCAUCUUUAUCCUUUCAGCAAUUGCAUCACAGUAUAUUGUACAAGAUUAUUUUUCAGCGUAAUAUUUCCCGUUUGAUUUUUUUUUCCUUUUUUUUUUUUUUUUUUUUGCGUUGAGUGCAGCUUACUUACUAAACCUAACCUCACUUUAAAACUUAUUACAGGUUAUAAAUAUUAUUUUUUAAUUCCAACGUAAAGCUAUUAAUAUUCGUAAAAAAUAUUUGUAUUCUUUGUAUUCUUAUUUCUUUUUAUUUCUUCGGUGAUAAAAAUUAAUUCUUUGAAAAUGUUGAAUUAUAAAUUUGUAACUUUUUUUUUCUAAGAAAAAGGGAUAAAGUUAUUAAAAGAUGUACAAAAUAAUCAAGAAUGGUAAGAAAAAAAAAAAACUCACUUUAGAAUGUAUUGAUAUUUUUUGAGAUGAUUAAAGUUUUCACAUCAGCUGAACGAAUCAUUAUUUUACGCUUCGAUUCAUUGUAUUAUCGUUGAUCUUGCUUAUUCGAUUAAUAAGCUUCGCUUUUCAUCGAUAAAACAUAGAUUAUGGGUAAUUAUUAAUCCAUUGACCUAGGAGAAUUUAAUAAAUACCUACUAUUGAGAUGUGAUUAAUUUAACAUUGUCGAAUAUGUUAUUUUUAGAGAUAAAAUAAUUCAAUUCAAUUUAUUAAUAUUAAAAUUUGUAUUGCGAUAAAAAAGUAUUUUUAUAAUAAUUUAAAUUUUCUUUUCUACAGAAAGUAGAGUAUUAAAAUAUUCUGACAACGAUAACAUGAGUUUUCUAGGUAGUAAUUCAUAAUUAAAGAAAAAUGGAGCGACGACCGAAUUUGCCAUAAAGACUGCACGAAAAUUUUAUUUUUUAAACGUUACCAGAAUCCGUUUUUUUUUUUAUUAU